rnacentral:rRNA from 1 species
GAUGAACGCUGGCGGCGUGCCUAAUACAUGCAAGUCGAGCGAACGGACGAGAAGCUUGCUUCUCUGAUGUUAGCGGCGGACGGGUGAGUAACACGUGGAUAACCUACCUAUAAGACUGGGAUAACUUCGGGAAACCGUAGCUAAUACCGGAUAAUAUUUUGAACCGCAUGGUUCAAAAUUGAAAGACGGUCUUGCUGUCACUUAUAGAUGUAUCCGCGCUGCAUUAGCUAGUUGGUAAGGUAACGGCUUACCAAGGCAACGAUGCAUAGCCGACCUGAGAGGGUGAUCGGCAACACUGGAACUGAGAAACGGUCCAGACUCCUACGGGAGGAAGCAGAAGGGAAUCUUCCGCAAUGGGCGAAAGCCUGACGGAGCAACGCCGCGUGAGUGAGGAAGGUCCUCGGAUCGUAAAACUCUGUUAUUAGGGAAGAACAUAUGUGUAAGUAACUGUGCACAUCUUGACGGUACCUAAUCAGAAAGCCACGGCUAACUACGUG